rnacentral:snRNA from 1 species
GCGCUUGCUUCAGCGGCACCUACGGCAAAAUUAGAUAACAGAGAAGGUUAGCCCAGAAGAUGGCCCCUGGGCGAGGAUGACAUGCAAAUUUGUAAAGCAUCCCAUAAAAAA